UAAGGUUAAGUUAAUAAGGGCGCACGGUGGAUGCCUUGGCACUAGAAGCCGAAGAAGGACGUGACUAACGACGAAAUGCUUUGGGGAGCUGUAAGUAAGCGCUGAUCCAGAGAUGUCCGAAUGGGGGAACCCACUAGUUAAUGACUAGUAUCCAUAUCUGUUAAGGAUAUGAGAAGGAAGACGCAGUGAACUGAAACAUCUAAGUAGCUGCAGGAAGAGAAAGCAAAAGCGAUUGCCUUAGUAGCGGCGAGCGAAACGGCAGGAGGGCAAACCGAAGUGUAAACACUUCGGGGUUGUAGGACUGCGAUAUAGGAUUAAUCAUUAUAGAAGAAUUACCUGGGAAGGUAAGCCAAAGAGAGUAACAGCCUCGUAUUUAAAAUGAUAGAUUAACCUUAGCAGUAUCCUGAGUACGGCGAGACACGCGAAAUCUCGUCGGAAUCUGGGAGGACCAUCUCCCAACCCUAAAUACUCUCUAGUGACCGAUAGUGAACCAGUACCGUGAGGGAAAGGUGAAAAGCACCCCGGGAGGGGAGUGAAAUAGAACCUGAAACCGUGUGCCUACAACAAGUUCGAGCCCGUUAAUGGGUGAGAGCGUGCCUUUUGUAGAAUGAACCGGCGAGUUACGAUAUGAUGCGAGGUUAAGUUGAAGAGACGGAGCCGUAGGGAAACCGAGUCUUAAUAGGGCGCCAUAGUAUCAUGUUGUAGACCCGAAACCAUGUGACCUACCCAUGAGCAGGUUGAAGGUGAGGUAAAACUCACUGGAGGACCGAACCAGGGCACGUUGAAAAGUGCUUGGAUGACUUGUGGGUAGCGGAGAAAUUCCAAACGAACUUGGAGAUAGCUGGUUCUCUCCGAAAUAGCUUUAGGGCUAGCGUCGAUGUUAAGUCUCUUGGAGGUAGAGCACUGUUUGGGUGAGGGGUCCAUCCCGGAUUACCAAUCUCAGAUAAACUCCGAAUGCCAACGAGAUAUAAUCGGCAGUCAGACUGCGAGUGCUAAGAUCCGUAGUCGAAAGGGAAACAGCCCAGACCACCAGCUAAGGUCCCAAAAUAUAUGUUAAGUG
rnacentral:rRNA from 1 species